rnacentral:misc_RNA from 1 species
GAUGAAGAACGCAGCGAAAUGCGAUAAGUAAUGUGAAUUGCAGAAUUCAGUGAAUCAUCGAAUCUUUGAACGCACAUUGCGCCCGCCAGUAUUCUGGCGGGCAUGCCUGUUCGAGCGUCAUUUCAACCAUCAAGCCCCCGGCUUGUGUUGGGGACCUGCGGCUGCCGCAGGCCCUGAAAUGCAGUGGCGGGCUCGCUGUCACUCCGAGCGUAGUAGUUACAUCUCGCUCUGGGCGUGCUGCGGGUUCCGGCCGUUAAAAGCCUUAUUUACCCUAGGUUGACCUCGGAUCAGGUAGGAAGACCCGCUGAACUUAAGCAUAUCAAUAAGCGGAGGA